UACAGAGGGUGCGAGCGUUUAAUCGGAAUUACUGGGCGUAAAGCGUGCGUAGACGGCUAUCUAAGUCGGGUGUGAAAGCCCCGGGCUCAACCUGGGAAUUGCAUUCGAGACUGAAUAGCUAGGGUGCGGUAGAGGGAAGCGGAAUUUCCGGUGUAGCGGUGAAAUGCGUAGAGAUCCGGAGGAACACCAGUGGCGAAGGCGGCUCACUGGCCCGGUACUGACGCUGAGGUGCGAAAGCGUGGGGAGCAAACAGG
rnacentral:rRNA from 1 species